AGACUAUUAUGGACCAAUUCAACCCCAGCUUGAAAAACUUCAUCGCAAUGGGAAAGUCUUAUGAAAAGGCACUUAGCAGCCACAUGGGUGCAGAGAAAAUUUGGAUCAAGAAAGCCAGAACAGGUAUGACCUUUGCUGCAAAAGGCUAUUUUGAGGCCCUAGUGAAGAUGGGUGAACUUGCCAGCGACAGUCAUGCUUCCAAGGAGAUGGG